rnacentral:rRNA from 1 species
UACAGAGGGUGCAAGCGUUGUUCGGAAUCAUUGGGCGUAAAGGGCGUGUAGGCGGUUUGUUAAGUCAUGUGUGAAAUCCCUCGGCUCAACCGGGGAACGACGCAUGAAACUGGCAAGCUAGAGUACCAAAGAGGGUGGUGGAAUUCCACGUGUAGCGGUGAAAUGCGUAGAGAUGUGGAGGAACACCAGUGGCGAAGGCGACUCUUUGGCCUGUAACUGACGCUGAGGCGCGAAAGCGUGGGGAGCAAACAGG